GUAAAGGAUCAAGUGUGUGUCUGGAAUGUAAUGUGUUUAGGGGUGCUGUAUAUAUGUACAGCACCCCUAAACACAUUACAUUCCAGACACAUUACAUUCCAAG